rnacentral:rRNA from 1 species
AAAUUGAAGAGUUUGAUCAUGGCUCAGAUUGAACGCUGGCGGCAGGCCUAACACAUGCAAGUCGAACGGUAACAGGAAACAGCUUGCUGUUUCGCUGACGAGUGGCGGACGGGUGAGUAAUGUCUGGGAAACUGCCUGAUGGAGGGGGAUAACUACUGGAAACGGUAGCUAAUACCGCAUAACGUCGCAAGACCAAAAAGGGGGACCUUCGGGCCUCUUGCCAUC